rnacentral:rRNA from 1 species
AACCAAUGGCCUCCUGAACGCGCAUUGCACUCUUGGGCUUCCCUGAGAGUAAGUUUGCUUCAGUGCUUC